rnacentral:lncRNA from 1 species
GCCGACUCCCGAUUUCUCGCCGCCGCUCACUCCCGCCGCUCGCUCCUGCCGGUCGGUCUCGCCUUGCCUCGCCGUGCGCUGCCCCUCACCUCGCCGGUCAUCUGUGAAGGUAUGUGAUGGGUUAUUUUUUAUUAUGGUUUUAUGGUUUUUUGUUUAUGGUUUUUGAUUUUGAUUUAUGGUUUUAUGGUAUGACGCACAUUAUGGAUUUUGAUUUUUGGUUUUAUUAUGUGGGUAUGUGGGUAUGUUGAUUUAUGAUUUUGAUUUAUGGUUUUAUGGUUUGAAUGUUAGGAACCGAUGUAUGAAAUUUUUUUAUUAUGAUUUUGUUAUUUAAUUUUGUGGGUAUGUUUGUUUGUUAUUUAAGUAUCAACUAUAAUCUAUGUUUGUUUGUUAUUGGAAUCUACUGUUUUGAUGAUUGGGUUUAUCUUUGUUUGUUUGUUAUUGUUAAUUAUCAACUAAUCUAUUGUUUAUUUGUUAAUAAAUUAAGUGAUUGCUUUUAAUCAAACUCAAAUAAGUGAUGAAUGAGUUUUAUUUUAGUGUUAUAUGAAUGUUUUAUAAAUGAAUUAUACAUUUUCAUGUACUAUUGUCAAGUAAUUGGAAUUAUAUUGCAUCAUUUAGUUAUUGUAUUUUUUAGUUAGUUUAUGUACUGUUUUAGUUUGUUUAAUUAGUGUACUAAUCCUUUCUAUUGAUUUAUUAAUAUAUACUAAUCUUCAUCAAUAUAUUAAUUUGUGAAGGUAUCGAUUUGUGAAGGUAUUGAUCUGCGAUCUUCGUCUGCGAAGGUAUAUAUCGAUCUGUGAAAGUUUAUGUUUAAUAUAUUUGUAAAUAUAAUUUAAAAUGAAUUAUUUAAUUACUGUUUUUAUAUUGUUUUAAUUUAUAUAUUAGAAAGAAUUUAAAGAAAUAAUUAUUUUAUUAUAUAAUUAUUUUCAAACAGAAAAUAAUUAAAUUUUCUAUUUAAUCAACUUAUUUUUAAAUUAUUUAAAUAAUUGUAAUUAUAUAUCAAUUUAAUUAAUAAUUGACAUGAAUCUAUAUCUUAAUUAAUUAUUUGCAUGAAAUAAAUUUGUUUUAAUUAUUUUCUGUUUUUAAAUUAUUUUAAAAAAAAAUAAAAAAAUAAAUUAAUUUAUGUUUUAAAAUAAUUUAAAAUUUAUAUUAAAUAAUUAAUGUGUUUUUAAUGUAAUUAAUUAAUUUGAAUGAAUUCAAGUAAUUAAUUACAAUAAAAUUAAUAUGUUAUUAAUGAAAUAUUAAAUGUUUAUGUUAAAAAAUAAUAUGUUUUAUUAUUUAAUAAAUUGUAAAAUAAUAUUGUUUAAUAAUUAAUAAUUAUUUAAUUGAAUGUUAUUUAUUAAAAAAAUUGUAAUUAAUUAACAAUUUACAUUAAUGUAUUGUAUAUGUUAAUAAUUAAAUAUGAAUGAAUAUAAUUUUUUUCAAUAAAUAAAUAAUUAAUUUACUGUUUUUCUGUUUUUUAAUUAAAUGAAAGUGUAUUUAAUUAAAAUACUAAUUACUUUUAUUAUUGAUUUAAUAAAACAAUUAAUUAAUAUUUUCUUUAAAUAAAUAAAUAAAUAAUUUACUGUUUUUAAAUUAAAAAGUUAAUAAAUAAUUUUAAAAAUAAUUUAAAAUCUUUAUUUUAUUUACUGUUUUUAAUUAAAGAAUUAAUAAUAUUUUGAAAUAAAUAAAUAAUUUUCUGUUUUUAAAUAUUUUUAAAAAUAAUGAAAUUAAUUAUUUGAUUUACUGUUUUUAAUUAAAUAAUUAAUAAUUUUGUUGAAAUAAUUAAAAAAUUAUUGUGUUGUUCACUUGAUGUAGGUUUUGAAAAAUAAAGAAUCCAAAAAUUUGGAUUGAAUUAAGCUCUAUUGCGGUAUGAAAUUAUAAAUGUUUAUUUAAUCAUUUUGUUUUAAAAAUAUUUAAUUAAUUUGCAUGCAUGUAAAUAUAAAUUUGUUAAUUAGUAAUUAUUAAAUUGAAUGAUUUGAAAUUCUAUCAAUAAUAAUUAAUUUGCAUGAAAUUAUUAAAUUGUUAAUUAAUAAUUAUGAAAUUGAAUCAUUUUAAAUUUUAUCAAUAAUUAUUAAUUUGCAUAAAAUUAUUAAUUAAUUAAUAAUAAUUAAAUUGAAUGAUUUUAAAUUGAAUUAAUAAUGAUUAAUUAAUUUGCAUGAAAUUAUAGAAAUGUUAAUGAAUAAUUAUGAAAUUGAAUGAUUUUAAAUUAAAAUAAAAAUUAUUAAUUUGCUAAUUAUUUGUUAAUAGUAAUUAUUAAAUUGAAAUGUUAAUGAUUAAUUUGCCUGAAAUUAAAAAUUUGUUAAUUAAUUAGUAAUUAUUAAAUUGAAAUGUUAAUGAAUAUAAUUUGCAUGAAAUGUUAAUAUUUUUUUAGAUUUUAAGAAAUGCCACGUAGAGUGAAGCAAUUACCUCGUCGGAGAGUCAAAAAGACGUCUCGAAAUACAAGAAAAAGUUCAAUGCUAUGAAAUCCUAUAUGAAGAAAUUGAACAAGACUUUGAAGACUUCUGGACUAGACAUGACGCAGAUGGCUUCUACUUCAAAGUCAACAAUACCGUCUGCAUUCGGAUCAGAUAAUUCUGAUUCUGAUUCAGAAGAUUCUGAUUCUGAUUCAGAAGACGAGUGUUGAUAAACAAUUUUUUUUUUCUUAUUAAAACUUCGAAUGUUUAACGAUUCUGUAAUUUAAUUUCUUUUUAAUAAAAAACAUCGAUUUCCAUUUCUAUUUCAAAUCGUUUCCUCAAAUAUCGCUUUUAUUUCGACAAACAACGAUUCGAACGCACAAUAUAGAAUCCUGUUUUAAAAAAAAAAUGUAACAAACCUUGUAUGGCGGAAAUCCGCCAUCUAAAGCUGGGCACAAUCGCCCUCUCCCACUAAUAGAUGGCGGAUUUCCGCCAUCUAUAAACUAAGGGAACCGCCUGCUGUACUUUAGAUGGCGGAAAUCCGCCAUCUAAAGGUCCAGGGAUAGUCGGCGGACAUCCGCCGUCAAUGAAAUUAACCGCCAUCAAUGAAUUGGUCCGAUCGCGGUGUCCAAGAUGGCGGGCUUUAGAUGGCGGAUUUCCGCCGAGGAUCACUUUAGAUGGCGGAAAUCCGCCAUCUAAAGUCCGCCAUACAAGGUCGGAUUUCUUGUAGUGCAUGUGGCUUGAAUCCCUUCCCUUUGGAGUUAAAAUAACUAGUUUUUCCUCUAUUUUUCUUAUAAUACUUGCUCUUUCUUUUAUCCAUAUAGAACAGAUCAUUAGCUAAUUUUUCUGUACUAAGAUUUAUUGUUUCUUAAAUCAUAAGAAAUAAGCUGAGCUACCACGGAUUGACAGCCAAGUACAGGAGGCUUAAACAUCACUGUUUUGAAUGNNNNNNNNNNNNNNNNNNNNNNNNNNNNNNNNNNNNNNNNNNNNNNNNNNNNNNNNNNNNNNNNNNNNNNNNNNNNNNNNNNNNNNNNNNNNNNNNNNNNAGUAGUUGACAAAUUUUUUCAACAUCACCUAGUAGUUGUUUAUAUAAUUCUAAAUAGGGACUUAUGAUUCUUUUUUAAUGCUUUGUAAUUUGUCUCUUAACAAGACUUUCCUUUCAACAGUAUCUUGUGCAAAUGCACUCUUUAAUGUGUCCCAGACACCCUUAGCUGUUUCAAUUCCAGUAAUCAAAGUAAGUAUAGAUGGAGUGAGACGACUGAUAAUCCAGGUUAUCCAGCCCUUUACCAGUCGAUCAGUCCUCCUCCAAUCUUUAAAUCGGGGGUUAGUGUACUCAACUACAACUAUGAGCUGCAACACCUGUAUCUGAAAGUCAUUCAUCAACUGAUCGAGGUUGGACUGCAUGGUCAAACCUACUUGGGCAUAUGAUUGCUUCAGCUUCCUUACAAAUUUGGCACUUGAUUCUUGACUCUUUUCUUUUUCUCCCAUGUUUUCAGUUGUCAUUGCUGCCAUGUGGCUUGAAUCCCUUCCCUUUGGAGUUAAAAUAACUAGUUUUUCCUCUAUUUUUCUUAUAAUACUUGCUCUUUCUUUUAUCCAUAUAGAACAGAUCAUUAGCUAAUUUUUCUGUACUAAGAUUUAUUGUUUCUUAAAUCAUAAGAAAUAAGCUGAGCUACCACGGAUUGACAGCCAAGUACAGGAGGCUUAAACAUCACUGUUUUGAAUGCUGCAUAGUCUUCUUCCAAGCCAUUCAGUAGUUGACAAAUUUUUUCAACAUCACCUAGUAGUUGUUUAUAUAAUCCUAAAUAGGGACUUAUGAUUCUUUUUUAAUGCUUUGUAAUUUGUCUCUUAACAAGACUUUCCUUUCAACAGUAUCUUGUGCAAAUGCACUCUUUAAUGUGUCCCAGACACCCUUAGCUGUUUCAAUUCCAGUAAUCAAAGUAAGUAUAGAUGGAGUGAGACGACUGAUAAUCCAGGUUAUCCAGCCCUUUACCAGUCGAUCAGUCCUCCUCCAAUCUUUAAAUCGGGGGUUAGUGUACUCAACUACAACUAUGAGCUGCAACACCUGUAUCUGAAAGUCAUUCAUCAACUGAUCGAGGUUGGACUGCAUGGUCAAACCUACUUGGGCAUAUGAUUGCUUCAGCUUCCUUACAAAUUUGGCACUUGAUUCUUGACUCUUUUCUUUUUCUCCCAUGUUUUCAGUUGUCAUUGCUGCCAUGUGGCUUGAAUCCCUUCCCUUUGGAGUUAAAAUAACUAGUUUUUCCUCUAUUUUUCUUAUAAUACUUGCUCUUUCUUUUAUCCAUAUAGAACAGAUCAUUAGCUAAUUUUUCUGUACUAAGAUUUAUUGUUUCUUAAAUCAUAAGAAAUAAGCUGAGCUACCACGGAUUGACAGCCAAGUACAGGAGGCUUAAACAUCACUGUUUUGAAUGCUGCAUAGUCUUCUUCCAAGCCAUUCAGUAGUUGACAAAUUUUUUCAACAUCACCUAGUAGUUGUUUAUAUAAUUCUAAAUAGGGACUUAUGAUUCUUUUUUAAUGCUUUGUAAUUUGUCUCUUAACAAGACUUUCCUUUCAACAGUAUCUUGUGCAAAUGCACUCUUUAAUGUGUCCCAGACACCCUUAGCUGUUUCAAUUCCAGUAAUCAAAGUAAGUAUAGAUGGAGUGAGACGACUGAUAAUCCAGGUUAUCCAGCCCUUUACCAGUCGAUCAUUCCUCCUCCAAUCUUUAAAUCGGGGGUUAGUGUACUCAACUACAACCUUAGAAUCCCUUUCAGGUACAUUAAUCCAUCUAAAAGGAACUUCGAUUGAACCAUCGACAAAUUCAAUCAAAUCCUGACCUUCUAAUAGACUCACCAUUUGUGUACGCUAAAUUAAAAAAUUAUCGGUAGACAAGUAUAAUGAAACGAAGUUACCGAUAUUGAGAUUCGCCGGAUAAAGAUAUUCAUUCACCUGAUUCCUCCGUCUGUCGUCGUGCCUGCUCCAUUUAGAACCGUUCGAUGCCCUCAUGCCUCUCGCCUCUUGCUACGCGUUGUCGAAGACGACGACGAGCCAUCUCCAGCGACUGAUACCAUGUUAACAGAGAUAUAAUCAGCAAACAGAGAAGUAGAUCUUAGCUUCAAGACUGUAAUCCAAGAACUGAUUACAGAAGCUUAGAUUGAAUUAAUUAAUGUUAUUCUACGAUAUAGAUCCAUUAUAUAGACUAAUUAAGUAAAUAACUAAUAUGAUUAAUAGACUAACUAAGUAACUAAUUACUAAUAUGGUUAUUAUUUAAGUAACCCCUAGUAUUAUAAUCUAACAAACUCUUUUUAAACUCAAAAUUAACUUUCGAUUUCAAUAAAUGCAUGUUAUAGUCAACAAUGUCAAGUAUUUAUUCAACAAAUCAUUAACUAACUAGCUCUAUUUUAAUAAGUACAAUUAAACUAACCAACUGUAUUUAUUAAUACUGUUUCACACUCCCUCCUAAAUCCUAAUCUAUAUAUAGAUUAUUGCUUGAAAUUGAGCAUCCAAUUCAGUGAGAUCAAUAUCUUGAAGUAGUACGUGAAGUGUAGUAUCACAUAGAACAGAUGAAAAAAAUCCAGCCUGCUUUUCAAUAAUUCUGGAAAAACCCAUUCAGUGUUUAACUGUCCACUUGUUAUUCUUCAAGAUGAGUCACUAUUAGCAGUGUGUAAGGAAGCUACAGCAACUAGUAACUAUAGAUUAGUUUUCAAACAGCAAAAACAACUUGCAGAAACCAGCAGUGUGUAAGGAAGAAACUAGAGAUUAAUUUUCAAACAGUAACUUGCAGUUCUAGCAAUUUGUAAGCAUAAUCUGUAGAUCAGCAAUUUGUAAAAUGCAGAUGCAGUUCUAGAACCACCAUAGUGAUAGAGAAAAGCUAAUCCUCAUCUGCAUCAAAAAAAAAAUUCAGCAUUAGAAUUGAAUAUAUAUCAAGUGCCUCCUUACCUUUAUCUUGACCUCAAGAUCAUGUUUAAUUUUCUGCAUAAACUAACAAAAAUCUUAUUUGAAACAGAUUUAGUAAAAAUAUCUGAAAUUUGUUCAGAUGAACAAACAUGAAGAGUUUUGAAAUUAAUUCUCUAAUAAAGUGCAAAUCUGUUUCAAUGUCUUUAGACUUAUUCUUAACCAUGAAAAUGGUAUUACAAAAUAGAGUUGGAAUUUCAUGAAUAGGAUAAUACAGAUCUCUACAAAUAUAAGAUGUCCAUUGGGAUCUCAGCUGCCAAGAAAGCCAGAGCUUUGCACUCUGCUUUUGUACUUUUUGAUAACACUAUUUUGUUUCUUUGAGGAUCGGACCAAAUAACUAAUUAAGUUGCCAUUCAUGAAUAUGCACAAACCUGUAGGCUGUAGUUGAUUUUUUGAUGUCUGGAUCAAAAAUCAGCAUCGCAUAACCAUGAAUCUUGUGUUUAUAUUAUUUGAAUUAUUUGUAUUUUUUAAACCAUGAAUAAUGGUGCCUUUGAGAUAUAUUAAUAUUCUAUUUGGUUUAUAUAUAUUUAAUAUAUAUACACACCGAGUCCUGAAACUCGGUGCGGUGGACUGUCGGAUGGGGAUGGGAUUUCCACCAUCCGACGGCAUGGAGGACGAACUGCACGACCUCCGUGCACCGAAUUUCACCGGACUUGGUGAAGUUCGCGACCUCAAAGUGAGGUAUCUCCGAGCAAACGCCUUGGUGGUGUUCGGGAUGUCCGUUCUGGUGAAGUUCUCGCCGGUACACCCAACCGCACCGGCGAGACGUACCGCGUCAGAAGCGGAUCAUAUAUAUAUAUAUAUGUACGUAUAUAAAUAUAGGAUCCGUUUCCGGUGUGGUUGGGUGCAUCAACGAGAACCUCACCGGAACGGACCGUCGGACGGCAUGAAGUUCGGGGCACGCACUGGGUGUCUAUUGAAGAAUUCAAAACUUAAUUGUAUUCCAAAUCAAAGAUUGAUUUUCAUUAAUUGAAAAUGAUUGUAUUACACCAGUAUUUAUAUAAUAUCUAUGACUGACACAAUUGCCAAUUUAACCCAAGUAAUUGUUUAUUAUUACAACUCAAUUCUAAUUAGAAUAACAUGAUAAUACUCAUGACAGUGUCAGGUGCAGUCUGCCGUACCUGAAACCUAAAUAUAUUUGGAUUUUAGUGGUUUAACGUAGGCCAUUGGUAAGAAUGAAAUAUAUAUGUAUAUAAAUAUAGGGCAAACUUCUGAUGCAAUAUCACUAAAUGUGAUAUCUGCGACAUACGAAUGUGGGCCGUCGGAUCUUUUGAUUGAAUAAAAGUCGUCGAAUGUGGGCCGUUGAAUUUUCCUUCGUGCGCGAGUUAUAGAACAAACUGUCGUAAAGAAUAAAAGUCGUCGGAUGUUAGAUGAACGGCUAUGAUGGAGGACGACGCAUUUAUCACAUUUAGUGAUAUUGCACUUAUAAUUUCCCUAUAAAUAUAUACACGGUGCAAAUGUUAUGUGUCAAGUUGAUUUUGUCCAUUAGAUUGAUUUUGUGUCGUACAUGUGUUAGUGUCUUAUGCAGUAUAUUAUUUUACGUCGUACAUGUGUUAGUGUCUUGUGGAGUACGUUAUUUUAUUCAUUGAAUUAAAUACUAAUGAUUAUGAUUUGAUAACUCACGACGACGCAUUUAAGGUAUGAUUCGAUUUGAUAACUUUAUACAUAUAUAUAAAGUUAUUUUUGGUUGACAAUUCAAACUAAUUUUUCUUUUUCUUAACUUGUUUACAUUCAACCUUCUCCGAUCAUUCCAAGUGGUCCCCAACCACCACCGUCUGUCCAAGAACAUCCACCACACUGGGUGUGCCCUUGCCCCAAAUUCCAUGCCAAGAGCAAAAGAUUAUAAGAAUAGGAUCGGUAUGUUCUGUCAAAUAGUCAAUGAUAUCGAUGCACCUAUUAAAAAAGAAAGAAAUAUUUAAUUAUAUUUCAAAAUAUACAAACACAGCAACAUACAUACACAGGUAUUAUUUCAUACAAGUAUGAAAUAUACGACAAGGAUCAGGAGCGGUCAGAUUGGGCACGGCUGAGUGCGGCCACCUGAUCCUGAUCUUCCAAACCGGAUCUUACAUUAAUCCUACGGUAAAUCUGAUCACAGAUGCACCAGAUUGAGUGUGUGAACCUGACCGCACCCAAUCUGGUCACACCAGAACCAGUUCCUGAAAUAUACAAUACAAUACAAUACAAAAUAUAUACGUUAUAUUCGAAGACUAUGUUCAAGUAAACGUGAAUGACUGAGUAUUUCCAAGGGGGAAACUGGAACUUGUUUGACCAAUCCCACUCAAAUUAUCGAAACUCCAAUCUGACAUAUAUGUUGGCUUGGAAGGAACUUCUCCCAGCUCUGCUUCUCCUAAGAGCAUUGAAACAACACGAGACAUCGUUGGUCGAAGCAAAUGAUUCAUUUGGGCACACAGGAAAGCCACUCCCAUGACAUGUUUUAAUUCUUCUUUGUCGAAAGUCGUAAGUGUUGAGUCUACCAUUUCUAUAUCACGCUUCGCCUCAUGGAGUUCCCAAGCCUUCAUUUUCAAACAUGCACAAACAUCAGUUUCCUAGUUUAAUUUCUCCUUAAAAUAUAUUGUUAAAACAGAGUUAAUACUUAAUAUACAUCACCGUAAACUAAAAAAAACACAUUUCUUUCUUUUAAAAUACAUAACAUAACCAACAAUUUAUUUCACGACAAGACCAUAGAAAAUAUGAUGAGGUCAGAUAGAUCGAUAUGCACCCUGUGUAUAUUUAUGAAAAUUAAUCAAGAAGGGGAUGUGAAUUAAUGCUACAUACCCAUUCAAUAAGGUACUUCUUAUCUUCAUCCAAUUUUAAGCUGAAUACCGACCUUCCAGAUAAAAUCUCAAGAAUUACAAUACCAAAUGCAUAUACAUCCACCUUUUCUGUUAAAUGCCCUCUCAUGGCAUACUCUGGUGCAAGAUAUCCCCUGUAAAAUCCUAGAUGCGUAAGAGGCGAUAACAUUAAAUAUAUGGUGAAAAAAAUGUAUACUUACGUUGUCCCAGCAACUUUGGUCAUAAUGUGGGUCAUCUUAUCAUCAUAGAGUUUUGCAAGACCAAAAUCUGAUAUUUUAGGGUUAAAAUCCUCAUCAAGAAGAAUAUUACUGGACUUUAUAUCUCUAUGUAUAAUUCGACAUCUAGAUUCCUCAUGAAGAUAUGCCAGACCUUUUGCUGUGCCCAAACAGAUCUUGUAACGAGUGGGCCAAUCAAGAUGGAGGCCUGUAUUCCCUGCAAAAUAUUUCAUAUUUCUUUCUUCUAUGAAAAGAAAAUUAUUAUGAUAUAUAUGAAAUUAAAUAAUUUUUGAAUUUAAUUAGAAUGCAUGGAUAUACCAAAAAGUGCUUUAUCCAAACUCUUGUUUUCCAUGUACUCGUAAACAAGAAGUCUUUUGUUACCCUCAUAGCAACAUCCGUACAAGUUAACAAGAUUUCGAUGUUUUAGUUUUGAUAUAAUAGAGACUUCUGCAAUAAAUUGCUGCUUUCCUUGACUGGACCCUGCUGCAAGCUCCUUCACUGCCACAGUUCUGUCAUUUUUCGUCAGUCUACCCUAAAAUUAACAAGAUCGCAUAUUAAGAUUGAUCGGUAAUAUUUAAUUAUAGAUUAAUAUUAUUUAUUGUUGAAAUUAUGCUAAAUUACUACCAUGUAAACAACCCCAAAACCUCCUUCACCCAGUUUAUUUUGGGGACUAAAAUCUCCGGUGGCAUUCUUCAAUUCCAAGUAACUAAAAUUACCUGAUGCAAUAGUUAAUUCAUUCAAUUCUGGAAAGUUAUAUCGAUAAACAUUUCUUCUCUUACACCGUCUCCACAUCAAGAACCCAAUAGCUAGAAUAAUCAACAAAGCUGCAACACCUAUUGUGAUUCCAACAAUCAAACCGGUCGUAUUUUUAUUUGUGUUGGGUGGUUGAUUACUAACAGUAGGUACAAAAUCUGCAUAAUAAUCAAUCAUCAAAGGAAAAAAUUAUAUCAUAUCACAUUAUAUGUAUAGUUUAGUGUUUAUAUCAUAUAUAUUACUUGGAGUGAUACUGAUAGCUGAAAUUAAUGAUCCGUAGCUACCAUCGAAGGGAAUGCAGCAAGUUCCCUUCCCAGCCCAAAAGAAGUGAAUUUCAAGGAAGUUGUUAGUUACUGAGGUUAGGUACAUCUUUCUUAUAGCACUGAAAGACCUCUCGCUAGAUUCCUUCCUUAUAUCAAACUCGUUUUCAACAAGAAUCCCCUAGUAUUAUACAUUCAAAUAUUCAAACAUGCCCUAAUUUAUUAAUAAAGUCUGAUUUUUUCAACAGAGUUUUCAAUUAAAAACCGUACCUGAAGAUAUAUAUCAAAAAUUCUUUUUCCAAAACUGAGCCAAGUAAGAUCAUUUGGGAAUUGAAUCUCAGAAAAUUGUAAUGCUACUGUAUAGUUUCCAUUUUCAAGACCAAGACCGUAGUAGCGUAGUGAAGAUGGUGAUGAUCUUGCUGAUUGAAAUAAUAUUGAAUCUGAAGUGUUUGCGAUGUUUUUUGAAGUAUACAAAGCAUAAUUAUCAUUUCUGCCAUCCAUAAAGGUUCCAACGCUACUCACAGCCCAACGUUGAGUGCUUGUCAUGUAAUAAGAUGCACCAGAAAGAUUAACUUCAUCACUUUCGUAAAUGGUUCCAUUGGAUGUUAUGCUUUCCUUACCACCACAAUUUAUAGCAAACGAAUAAUCUGCAAAUUAAACAAGUUAAAUAUAUAUAUAAAGAAUUAAUGGAUAAACAACAAAUAUAUCAACACAUCCUACAAUUUGGUGAACCACGACUGCAUGGAACAUCUCUUUGCAAGCAUCUCAACCCCGAUGGAAGACUAAAAAAGAUAGAGCCGACAAAUAUUAGUCAAUGAGGAAAAAUUAAUUAAUGUUAUGUUCAUGGAUAAUCAUGAUGGAUCCACAAUAUACAAACCUAUUGGUUUCAAUAGCAAAGUUAUUGGCCACUACAUUCCUAGGAAAUGGAGAAAGAAAGUUAAUGUACAUUUUAAUACAUUUAUAUAUAGAUAGAUUUAUAUUUUGAAAUGGAAUUCACAUACAAUGCAUUAUUUGUCCUAGCAACCCACUUUGGAAAUCUUCCAGAAAGCUGAUUAUAUGAUAAAUCACUGAGGUAGAAAAAAAAAUAGAUUUAACAUUUGUUUAUAUGAAUGUUACCAAGACAGAAUUGAAGGUGGGGCAAUCAAAUGGUCGACCCCUCUAAACAUACAUUAGAUGUGUUUAUAUACAAUUGGGGUUUGGAUCAGAUAUUAACUGAAUGUGUAAUCAAUUCAGUUAAGUCUCGAUCCACACUAACUAAUUACAUCUAGAAAAAAAGGACUGACAUGUAAUUAUAAUCAAUUAACAAUAUUCAUUUAAUUUAUAUCACUAAUAGUUCAAAUCAAGGAAUUAAAUAAUAAUAAAUGUACAUAUUUUCAAGCCCAUCAGCUUUCUGAUCUGGUAAACUAUCAGAGAUACUAUUAUUUCCAAGAUACCUGAAAAUUAAAACAAAUAUUAUGAUGGUAGUGUAAAUGUGUAAUUAAUUUAUAAAACAUGAAAUCACUUACAAUGUGGUAAGUUGUGGCAUGUUGAAAAGUGAAGAUGGAAGUUUGCCAGUUAGAUUAUUGAAACUCAAGUCCCUGGUGCGGUGAGAAAUUAAUCACUAAUUAAUUAAUGUAAUAAGAAGGAUGAAUUAAAUUAAUCGAGCACUCAUUAUUAAACUAUAGGUACUUACAAAUAUGUGAUGUUGGAGAACUCUUCAAUGUAUGUGGGUAUUGUAUCGGAUAUCAUACAAUUUCUUAAGAUUCUGCAUAUAUAUUAUAUAACAUAGAUCAUAUGAGAUGCGAAUUUUUCUUAAGGGACAAAAUUGUUUUGCAUAGUUUACCCUGAGUAUCUCAAUUUCUAAUAAAAAUGGUCCUCGAUGUGAUUUUAGUUGUAUAUAAAAAUAAAGAAAAAAAUGAUUUGAGUUAUUUUGCAAUUUUAGUAGGGUUUGGGUUUAUGUAACAGUUUUGAGAAUCCCUGGAUCAAUUAUAAAAACAC